GGGCAUAGUUCAACGGUAGAACAGCGGUCUCCAAAACCGUCGAUGUGGGUUCGAUUCCUACUGCCC
rnacentral:tRNA from 2 species